CGGGUGAGUAACGCGUAGGAAUCUACCUGGUAGUGGGGGACAACAUGGGGAAACCCAUGCUAAUACCGCAUACGCCCUAUGGGGGAAAGCGGGGGACCUUCGGGCCUCGCGCUAUCAGAUGAGCCUGCGUAGGAUUAGCUUGUUGGUGAGGUAAAGGCUCACCAAGGCGACGAUCCUUAGCUGGUCUGAGAGGAUGAUCAGCCACACUGGAACUGAGACACGGUCCAG
rnacentral:rRNA from 1 species